GCAACGCUCAUGACAUGUAACAAUAAGCAGGACAGUGCAGUGAUGCAUUCUAAUAAUCAACUCAAGACCCGUGUGAGUGUAACCUGGACAGCAAAUUCUUCAGAAUCCCUGGGCAACAUUGUUUUCAGAGCAAUAUUUGUGACUGGGUUU